AAAUUGAAGAGUUUGAUCAUGGCUCAGAUUGAACGCUGGCGGCAGGCCUAACACAUGCAAGUCGAACGGUAGCACAGAGAGCUUGCUCUCGGGUGACGAGUGGCGGACGGGUGAGUAAUGUCUGGGAAACUGCCUGAUGGAGGGGGAUAACUACUGGAAACGGUGGCUAAUACCGCAUAACGUCGAAAGACCAAAGAGGGGGACCUUCGGGCCUCUUGCCAUCAGAUGUGCCCAGAUG
rnacentral:rRNA from 1 species